rnacentral:rRNA from 1 species
UAUAAGUUUGACUCUGGCUUGGAGUGAACGCGAGCAAAGUGUUUUGACACAUGCGAAUAGUUGUAAUAAAAAAUACUUAUUUUAUUACACUGUGUACGGGUGAGUAAGGUAUAGAAAUUGAUAAAUUGAUUAAUAAUACAUUAAAUAUCAUAAAAAUUUAUUUAUUUUGUAUCGAAAUUAAAUAGUAGUUGAGACUAGUUGAUUAUUUUUAAUUAGAUUGAGAGAUUAUCUAAUCACAUGGGGAUUGUAAAGGGCCCUACCGUUGGCAGCAGUGGAGAAUAUUGGUCAAUGAGGUAUUACCUUGAACCAGCGCUUUGCGGGGAUGAUAGAUUUAUUAAAAUCAUGAAGGCUAAGGCAGUUGUAAAGUCUAUACGUAGGUUAAUAUAUUGCAUUUAUACUUAAAAAGAACCCCAGGCUAACAACGUGCCAGCAGCUGCGGUAAGACGUUGAGGGGGGAGCGUUACUGGUCGUGAUUGGGUGUAAAAGUAACUAGAUUGUUUAGUGGAUACUUAAUUAAAAAAUUUACUAAAAAAAGAUAAUUAUAAAUAUACUAAUACUAGCAUUUAUAUAAGUAAAUAACAUUAUAAUAGUAAAGGUAAAAUUUAAUUUUAUAAUUAUUAUAUUUUCAAAUGUGAGACUAUUUACUAUAUACAUUAUGGACAUUGAAUUACUGGAGUGUAGGUAUCGAGAUGGAUUUGAGACCCAAAUAGUCUAUACCAUGAAUUAUGAGUGUUAAAUAAAUACAAAGUUUAAUUAACGUUUAAACACUUUACCUGAAAAGUAAAGCCGCAAGGGUAAAAUUUAAAGAGAUUGGCGGGAAUUUAUAUAAAUGGUGGAAUAUGUGGUUUAAUUUGAUAAUCCACGGAAAAUCUUACCGAUGUAGUGCACAUUAUUGAAUAAAUUUUUUAUAAAAAAAGUUACUUUGAUAAUUUUUGUAUUGGUAUUGCAUGGCUGUCGUCAGUUUAUGAUGUAAGUUUU